CAAGUCGAGCGGUAAGGCCCUUCGGGGUACACGAGCGGCGAACGGGUGAGUAACACGUGGGUGAUCUGCCCUGCACUUCGGGAUAAGCCUGGGAAACUGGGUCUAAUACCGGAUAUGACCUUCGGCUGCAUGGCUGAGGGUGGAAAGGUUUACUGGUGCAGGAUGGGCCCGCGGCCUAUCAGCUUGUUGGUGGGGUAAUGGCCUACCAAGGCGACGACGGGUAGCCGACCUGAGAGGGUGACCGGCCACACUGGGACUGAGACACGGCCCAGACUCCUACGGGAGGCAGCAGUGGGGAAUAUUGCACAAUGGGCGAAAGCCUGAUGCAGCGACGCCGCGUGAGGGAUGACGGCCUUCGGGUUGUAAACCUCUUUCAGCAGGGACGAAGCGAAAGUGACGGUACCUGCAGAAGAAGCACCGGCCAACUACGUGCCAGCAGCCGCGGUAAUACGUAGGGUGCAAGCGUUGUCCGGAAUUACUGGGCGUAAAGAGUUCGUAGGCGGUUUGUCGCGUCGUUUGUGAAAACUCGCAGCUCAACCGUGAGCUUGCAGGCGAUACGGGCAGACUUGAGUACUGCAGGGGAGACUGGAAUUCCUGGUGUAGCGGUGAAAUGCGCAGAUAUCAGGAGGAACACCGGUGGCGAAGGCGGGUCUCUGGGCAGUAACUGACGCU
rnacentral:rRNA from 1 species